UGGGGCAUGGUGCAAUUGGCAGCACACCGGACUUUGGAUCCGUGAAUCUUGGUUCGAGUCCAAGUGCCCCAGCCA
rnacentral:tRNA from 1 species